AAGCGAAAUCGGCAACUUGCUCUUUUUCGCAAGUUGCCGGUCGUCCGAGGGUGGUGCCUCGGGCCUGAUGAGCAGCCACGG
rnacentral:hammerhead_ribozyme from 1 species